ensembl:lncRNA novel transcript, intronic to SEMA6D
CUGGAUCAAUGAGACUAGAUAUUCAAAGAGAUAGAGAAGAUGAAAAGUGAUCACCUCAAGGGUAGCAAGAAUAAGAGAUUUAUAAUUGUCUGAAGAUGGCCUAAAAUCACCAUGGGCCUUUUAUGGAAACAUAGCUAUGCUUCUCACCUUUUUGCAAACAACUGCUUCAUCAUGAGACACCUUAGAAGGUGCCCCAAAGCUUUCAGGUCAAGCCACAGUGAAAUCUCUGCUGCAUAGUUGGUCACAUGGAGGACAUCUUCAGGGCUUCCUCUUGGACUCUUCAAAUUCUUCUACCACCUGGGGCAUUUUGAGCAGUGGGGAAAAAGGAAACUAAAUUUAUAUUCCUCCUUAGACGCUUCCUGAAGAAAAGGAAAAAUAAAUAAAUACUGGAAAAUG